CCGCGCCCUCCUCCUCCACCUCCUCCUCCUCCUGCACCGCCUCCUACUCCUCCACCGCCGCCGCCACCUUCUCCUAUUCUGACACUGCCAGUUGCAGUACCAUCUGCUGUCUCCCGUUUCCAACACUCUGCCUCCCACUGACACCCUUUGGCCCUUAUAUAGGGAGGAGAAGACACACCCACUAUUCAUGACAAGCCACUUGCAAAACAGCUAACAAUCUCAAGCCAGCCGAUCAGGGGACAGGCAAUGCAUCACACAGGGUCACAAAGAUGCUGCGAUUUGCCAGCUGCUGCCUUACAGGGCCAUGGAGACAUGGGCCUGCUGGCUGUCCAAUGGAAAUAGAACUAUGAGCGGUGAGCAGCGCUCACCACCAGAUCCCCCAGGAGAAGCCACCUUUGCACACCUGGUCCCUGGCAACUGCUCCUGACAUCGCUGGGCUCACCAGCAUUGCUACCACCAUGCCCUAGCCAGGGGCACGCAGAGCCAUUUGGCCAGCAAGUUUCUGCCAAGGAGGACGAGGAGGCGGUAGAGGAGGAGGAGGAGGCGGUGGAGGAGGAGGAGGCGGUAGAGGAGGA